rnacentral:rRNA from 1 species
AACAGCGGUUAGGAGCUUACACCCACCCGUGUUUACAUACUAUUGUUGCUUUGGCGGGCCGUGGCCUCCACUGCGGGCUCUGCUCGUGUGUGCCCGCCAGAGAACCAAACUCUGAAUGUUAGUGAUGUCUGAGUACUAUCUAAUAGUUAAAACUUUCAACAACGGAUCUCUUGGUUCUGGCAUCGAUGAAGAACGCAGCGAAAUGCGAUAAGUAAUGUGAAUUGCAGAAUUCAGUGAAUCAUCGAAUCUUUGAACGCACAUUGCGCCCUCUGGUAUUCCGGGGGGCAUGCCUGUUCGAGCGUCAUUACAACCCUCAAGCUCUGCUUGGUAUUGGGUGUCACCGCAUUGGUGCACCUCAAAAUCAGUGGCGGUGCCACCUGGCUUCUAGCGUAGUAAUACUCCUCGCUAUGGAGUCAGUUGUGUACUUGCCAACAACCCCUAAUUUUAUAAGGUUGACCUCGGAUCAGGUAGGGAUACCCGCUGAACUUAAGCAUAU